rnacentral:rRNA from 1 species
GAUGAACGCUGGCGGCGUGCCUAAUACAUGCAAGUCGAGCGAACAGAUGAGGAGCUUGCUCCUCUGACGUUAGCGGCGGACGGGGGAGUAACACGUGGAUAACCUACUUAUAAGACUGGGAUAACUUCGGGAAACCGGAGCUAAUACCGGAUAAUAUAUUGAACCGCAUGGUUCAAUAGUGAAAGACGGUUUUGCUGUCACUUAUAGAUGGAUCCGCGCCGCAUUAGCUAGUUGGUAAGGUAACGGCUUACCAAGGCAACGAUGCGUAGCCGACCUGAGAGGGUGAUCGGCCACACUGGAACUGAGACACGGUCCAGACUCCUACGGGAGGCAGCAGUAGGGAAUCUUCCGCAAUGGGCGAAAGCCUGACGGAGCAACGCCGCGUGAGUGAUGAAGGUCUUCGGAUCGUAAAACUCUGUUAUUAGGGAAGAACAAAUGUGUAAGUAACUAUGCACGUCUUGACGGUACCUAAUCAGAAAGCCACGGCUAACUACGUG